rnacentral:rRNA from 1 species
CUACGUGCCAGCAGCCGCGGUAAUACGGAAGGUCCAGGCGUUAUCCGGAUUUAUUGGGUUUAAAGGGAGCGUAGGCUGGAGAUUAAGUGUGUUGUGAAAUGUAGACGCUCAACGUCUGAAUUGCAGCGCAUACUGGUUUCCUUGAGUACGCACAACGUUGGCGGAAUUCGUCGUGUAGCGGUGAAAUGCUUAGAUAUGACGAAGAACUCCGAUUACGAAGGCAGCUGACGGGAGCGCAACUGACGCUGAAGCUCGAAGGUGCGGGUAUCGAACAGGAUUAGAUACCCUGGUAGUCCGCACAGUAAACGAUGGAUGCCCGCUGUUGGUACCUGGUAUCAGCGGCUAAGCGAAAGCAUUAAGCAUCCCACCUGGGGAGUACGCCGGCAACGGUGAAACUCAAAGGAAUUGACGGGGGCCCGCACAAGCGGAGGAACAUGUGGUUUAAUUCGAUGAUACGCGAGGAACCUUACCCGGGCUUGAA